GACGAAUGCUUGCAGACUGCCGGUGAGGAGGAAGGGACAGAAGGAAGCGAGGGAAAAGCUGUGGGGAGAAAAGGUGUGGGUUUUGACGACAGCGAAAAUGAAAGCAAUCUAAAGGGAAUGAGGAGGUGUGAAAAUGAGUAAAUGUGUUGUAAAGUGUGCACCGGGGAGAAGGUGAGGAAAUACAGAGAAGAAUAGAAAGCAGGGAGUGAGGAGGACAAAGAGCAAGCAGAGGGAAGAAAGAGAAAGGCUACUGUCAGGAGAGAUGACCCACUCAUUUUAGCCCAUCUCUGAAGACUGUGAGCCAGAAAGGAAGUCAGUGAAAGACAGUGGCACCACUUCACUGCUUAUGAUGGCGAUGAUGGAACUUUCCAUGUCCUCAAAACUAUUUCUGGUUUUUGAAGUUGGUACAUCAAAGGAACAUGAUGUGUUGUGGUUACUAUGUUUGUUUUUUUUGGAUUAGGAAAGCCCUAACUUUACAGAUGAAGCAAAAUGUGCCACCCGGGGAUCUCAAGAGUGCUGCAAGUGUUUUACAUCUAAUAAAGCAUCUCCUUCCUUGUU